rnacentral:rRNA from 1 species
UACGUAGGGGGCUAGCGUUGUUCGGAAUUACUGGGCGUAAAGCGCGCGUAGGCGGACCUGCAAGUCGGGGGUGAAAGCCCGAGGCUCAACCUCGGAACUGCCUUCGAUACUGCGGGUCUCGAGUCCGGGAGAGGUGAGUGGAAUUCCUAGUGUAGAGGUGAAAUGCGCAGAUAUCAGGAAGAACACCUAUGGCGAAGGCAGCUCUCUGGGACGGUACUGACGCUGAGACGCGAAAGCGUGGGGAGCGAACAGG